AGGAGCAAAAGAAAGUCAAGAUACAUGGAGAGACUGAAGAGUAGAGAGAGAAUCUCACAUUCAUCACUCAGCUGAUUUGAACCCGCAGCGGACAGGACAAAGACGGAAAACAGUGAAUAAGGAAGCCAAAAAAGUAAGAACACAAAGGAGAAAGAAAGAAAAGAGUGAGUGAAAGGGUAAGAGAAUUUGUUUGGGAGCACGUCCAGCAAAGAGUACAGUUUGUGCUGGGACAGCGAACUGGUAUCUCCUUGCAGUGAGCACCAUGGCUGACAAUGUGAAUGAGGACUCUGACUAUAAACCAGGGGAAGAUGAGCUGGAGUGGGGCUAUGAGGAAGGUGUAGAAUGGGGACUCCAUUUCCCAGCAGCCAAUGGGGAAUACCAGUCUCCCAUUAAUUUGAACUCCAGGGAGGCUCAGUAUGAGCCGUCCCUCCUGGACACCAGCUUAUCUCCAAACUACGUGGUGUGUCGAGACUGUGAGGUCAUCAAUGAUGGACACACUGUCCGCAUCGUUCUCAAGUCCAAAUCAGUGGUUACAGGGGGACCGUUGCCUAGUGAUAAUGAAUAUGAGCUUCAUGAAGUUCGAUUCCACUGGGGCAAAGAAAACCAGAGAGGUUCAGAGCACACCGUCAACUUCAAGGCUUUUCCUAUGGAGCUUCAUCUGAUCCACUGGAACAGCACUCUGUUUAACAACUUCGAGGAUGCUCUGGGGAAGAAGAAUGGAGUCCUCAUUAUUGCUCUUUUUGUGCAGAUUGGUAAAGAGCAUCUGGGUUUGAAGGCCGUCACUGAAGUUUUACAGGACCUACAAUACAAGGGCAAGCGCAAAGUCAUCCCGUGUUUCAACCCCAACACCCUGUUACCCGAUCCACUGCUGAGAGACUACUGGGUGUAUGAAGGCUCUCUGACUACACCACCCUGCAGUGAGAAUGUAAUAUGGAUCCUCUACCGCUACCCUCUCACCAUCUCACAGUUACAGAUUGAAGAAUUUCGACGGCUGCGGACACAUUUCAAAGGAGCAGAACUACCAGAAGGGAAUGACGGGAUGCUGGGGGAUAACUUCCGCCCCACCCAGCCGCUGAGUGACCGGACUAUUCGUGCUGCUUUCCAGUGACUUUCACUUUCCCCACCAAGCCACUAAGGGUGUGGAACCUUCAGACACAUUUGAAAGGAGUGAAGAACAGACGGGGGUGAAGAAAGAAAGAAAAACAGUUGCAAAGAGAGAAAACUGAUGUGGCUUCAGACCAGCUCCAGAUUGAAAACAGACUGUGAUUACUGACCUCACAGACUCACUGUGUGUGUGGUGGUGUUGUUUCUGUGCCGCUUAUCUUCUCCCUCUCAUUCCUAUCUUAUGUCUCUGUACCUUCGAUAUUUUUUGAAUAUUAUUGUGCAGAUCUGCUCUGCUGUGUGUGUGUGUGGGGGUGGGUGCAUGUGGGUUUAUUAGAUGACAGGAGGCUUUAGAACAAGGCCACUGUCAAAACAAGAGGAAACAUAAACCACACACACACACACUGUGUGUACUGGGUUAGACUCACAAUGUUUAGGACUAGUAACAGAAGUAGUAAUUGAAGGCUUGUAUUAAUCCAUUUAAAAUUAACAUCAAAACCACCUGAGACUCUCUGAACUUACUUAAAAUAUGUAGUUUUUUCUUUUUUUCUGGAAUAAUUUAAAAGCAGCUUGUCAAAUGAUGAGAGAUUAGCUCUGGUGUGAUGAGUCUCAGAUAUAGACAGAUAGAAGAACUAGAGUUCUGACUCUUUGUAUGACAGCUGGUCCACCAUGUGGAGCCAUCCACCAUGACCACAUGGGACUGAAAGUCCUUCCAAACAAUGGGAACAGUACAAAUCAGUCACUCAACAAUGACGUGGGCCUCAACUUUAUCUUAAUGAAAUCAUGAAAGUUAAUUAAUAGUGUUUACCACAAAGUUAAGUCCCUUCAGCACCUCCCUUGUUUUUCCAGAUCUGAAGUGACUCUGCAUGUUGAUUUGGCAGAUGUUUUAUGCUGGAUGUGCUUCUUGAAGCAAAUCCAUAUUGGAGAAUGGGCAAGGGUGGGGUUUCAACUGGGAACAAAGGCAUUUGAUAAAAACA